UGAACUCGCGAGGCGGAGCGAGGCAGCCGAAGAUCGAAGAGCGAAGAAGGAAGACUUAUCGCGGCUCGAGGAGAUCUUGAUGGAAUCCCGAGUACGCUUUCUCCCCCCGUGGUCUUUGUUCGUUCGUCAAGGGGGACACAACGCGGCCAAGUGUAACGCGGCAGGAACCGUGUGUGUGUGGGCCUGGAGCCACUCUUAUUCGUGCGCCCUUACUCGGAUGAUCGAGGACGACGGGGUCGCGCGCGAGUACGUACACGUGCGAGUCAUCGCACGAUUAAAACAGCUUCCUUAUAAUCCGUUCGCCGUGAAAUCCGGCGACAGCCGUAAGGAGAAGGAGGAGGAGAAACGAAUGUGAAUCACAGCGGAACGGCAAGAAAGGUACGUGAUUCAUCGCGCGGGGAGAAUCGUGAGCCGCAGAAUCGGUAGAGAGAAGGUUCCGCGGCGCCCGAUGAGAUUGCACACAGCGAGACACAGCCGGCUCUGUGUGAGAAACGCGACCGUCGGGCAGGAGAUAAUGGAAGAGUACUGACGUUAUCGACGCUUUCGGUUAACCGGACACCCAGCACUUGCACGUCCGCAACGCGGAGUCAAGAAAGACAGGACCAUGGCACAAAAAAAACUUAAGCAGUGCACGAUCUUGAAUGGGAUGUUCUCUGUGUAUGGAGAGUCCGUCUCCACGUGCACGACUACUUGAGAGAAGCUAUGAUUCUCAAUUCGACUGGAUGUCUGAGUGCUCAACGAAAUAGGUGAACGUCAGCUGAUGGAACGUUGAACAGUGCGACGUGCUGUUUCAAUGGCAUCAAAAGGAAGAUUUUUUUUUUUUUUAAGAUCACAACAGGUGGUGAAAGCUGAUUUCUAUACAAUAAUGUUAGUCCUAAAAAAAACUAAUGAAAACAUCUUGAACUGAUCAACAUGAUGUUGUUUUUCAUCUUGAUAAUGCUAGAUCUCAUGUCCAUCCAUAGGAAACUACUGCAUUUUUAAUGGGACAUUCUUCCUCAUUCACUGUAUUCUCUCAAUCUUGCUCCAUUUGGCUACUAUUUAUUUCUCUCUUUGAAAAAUUUUCUUUGGAACAAAAAAUUUAAGUCUUUGGAAGUUCAGAAUUUAGUUUUGAGUAAAAUACUGCGUCCUGAAUUUACAUAAAAAAUUUGAAACAAACUUUCCAAGCACACCUAAUAGUUAAAAGAAAAAAAAACUUGUGUUUUAUAUUCUCAUCCAUAAAUUUUCUUUGUUUGCUUUAAUUCAUAUUAUGUAUUGCUAAUAUAUUCUCAUUUUAAUUC
rnacentral:lncRNA from 13 species